rnacentral:rRNA from 1 species
CCCGGGGGGGAGGCAGCCGCGGUAAUACGUAGGGUGCAAGCGUUAUCCGGAAUUAUUGGGCGUAAAGGGCUCGUAGGCGGUUCGUCGCGUCCGGUGUGAAAGUCCAUCGCUUAACGGUGGAUCCGCGCCGGGUACGGGCGGGCUUGAGUGCGGUAGGGGAGACUGGAAUUCCCGGUGUAACGGUGGAAUGUGUAGAUAUCGGGAAGAACACCAAUGGCGAAGGCAGGUCUCUGGGCCGUUACUGACGCUGAGGAGCGAAAGCGUGGGGAGCGAACAGGAUUAGAUACCCUGGUAGUCCACGCCGUAAACGGUGGAUGCUGGAUGUGGGGCCCGUUCCACGGGUUCCGUGUCGGAGCUAACGCGUUAAGCAUCCCGCCUGGGGAGUACGGCCGCAAGGCUAAAACUCAAAGAAAUUGACGGGGGCCCGCACAAGCGGCGGAGCAUGCGGAUUAAUUCGAUGCAACGCGAAGAACCUUACCUGGGCUUGACAUGUUCCCGACGAUCCCAGAGAUGGGGUUUCCCUUCGGGGCGGGUUCACAGGUGGUGCAUGGUCGUCGUCAGCUCGUGUCGUGAGAUGUUGGGUUAAGUCCCGCAACGAGCGCAACCCUCGCCCCGUGUUGCCAGCGGAUUGUGCCGGGAACUCACGGGGGACCGCCGGGGUUAACUCGGAGGAAGGUGGGGAUGACGUCAGAUCAUCAUGCCCCUUACGUCCAGGGCUUCACGCAUGCUACAAUGGCCGGUACAACGGGAUGCGACAGCGCGAGCUGGAGCGGAUCCCUGAAAACCGGUCUCAGUUCGGAUCGCAGUCUGCAACUCGACUGCGUGAAGGCGGAGUCGCUAGUAAUCGCGAAUCAGCAACGUCGCGGGAAUGCGUGCCGGACCCUU